AUCUUUUUGUAGGUAAGAAGCGUGACGAUCGGGUUUUUGUGCUCACGUGUGAGAAGUGCCUCCCUCAAACCUUGUUAUGAAGUCAGCACAUUACUGGUCUUUUU
ensembl:snoRNA